UUUCGUCUGUUGCUUCCUGUGUGGAAGAAUAAGUGACACUUAAUAAGAAUUGACAUCAUGUUGUGCACAUGAUGUACUCAAUGGGACUGGUACAUAUAUUGGAAAAAAUAAGCAUCUAUUCUAAAAUACAGGAAUUGUUAAGGAUCUUAUUUACACAUCUUCUUUCAGACUUUUGUUUGUGAGAAAUAAAUGUUCUCAUGUAGCUUUCUCUCCACGAUCUAAUGUGGCUUCCAUACACUUUUCACUUCACCACUUACAGGAAGAGGCAGCAGUUAUUUUAAACUGCCCCCUGUGUCAGCUGUUGUACUCUGUCAAAGUAGAACCUCCCCUCUGUGGACUACAGUAUUGAACCUCCCUGGAAUGUGUUGGCAGCAUACCCACUGUGUACGGGGUAGAACUAAUGAAGUACAAGGCUGCGGUCAAGAAGUCCUUAUUGCUGAAGAAGGUUCCCCAACUGAAUAAAAUUACGGUCCAUUAUGGGACCUCCAGAUAAGAGCUAAAUAAAUCUGCUUGCUAAAAUAAAAAUACACCGGCAAAUGACUAAAUGUGAUUCUUCAUUAUUGCACAAAGGAUAUAUUCAUAUUGAACAGUUUGUUAGAUAUUACUUACAAGUGAAUUGUUUUCUACUGAAGCUGUGCUGAUGAAGUGCCCGUCAUUCCGAUUCUUCUCCUUCGCCACGAUUGACAAAGAAUCUCACAAAAUAAGUUUCUACAUGGCCUUCAUGCACCCAUGCAAAUCCACAGGGUCAUGGUCUAUUUGGACUUUUUGUAGUGCUUCUUUGAUGUAGUUUAUCCAGCAGACCUACAGCACUGGGAUUAAACCGGUGGGCUUUUAGCAAUCAUUAUAGUAAAACUAUUGAUUGUGGAAUGUUUUCAUGUGAUCUGUUUGUGCUUUUAUAAGACCUCAAAUAUUGAACAUAUAAAACACAACUUUUAUCUUGGAGAAUUCUCAAAGGAUGUAGGCUACAGUAAAAACAUUUAAUUUUUUAUACAAGAGUAUUCAUAGAGGUCCUGAACGUACAUAACUCAGUUAUUGUCUGUGAUUGUUGAUUAAUAGCUUUUGUAUUGGAACCACUGUAUUGUUGUGUGUAUGUUCUAUACUGACACCUAGUGGCGAAUGUCGAUGUUGAAUGUGGAUAGCUAGCGACUAAAAUAACAGGAAGUGACAUACAGGAUGUGACAUACAGAAGUGUGAUUCAGGAAGUGAUAGUGCCCUCAGUGUAGCAUCUCAGCUUACCAUCUUCACAAUCCUAUGCCUUAAAGUCCACAAACCGGCAUCAUCUUUUUACAAAGACUAUUUUCCUGCAUUAAAUCCUGCCAAGCACAACACCCCGUCUGUUCAUUGGAGAAUGAGGUGCUGGAGAAUAUAUUGUUAAGCUGGCUGUAUAGCUAUAAAACAAGCAACUUUUAGCGAGGACAGCACAGCUUUUAUUCAGGUUGCAUGUGAGAUUUGAGAAAACACCAAUCCCCUCCCCCCCGAUAUACAGCAGAAAAUAUGUAAAAUACAGAGACGUUUCUACAGCCUCCGUUUUGUGCUCCACGGUGGCUCUGUGGAUCGAUACCGGACUCCGCGCUCCAGCUGGCGGGCUUCAAGCUGCUCAGGGCGGACCGCGACACGGAGCUCUGCGGCAAGACGAAGGGUGGAGGAAUCUGCUUCUACUCCAUCAGCAGCUGGUGCAACGACGUAACCGUGAUCCAACAACAACAACAACACUGUUCUCCUGAUGCGGAAUCCUUCAUCAUUAACUGUAGACCCUUUUACUCCAGUCAUUCAACCUGCUCGAUGUUAACGUGCCGCCGGCGGGCAACGUGCACAGCGGACACUCGCCGACCAGACGCGGCGUGUGGAGCGGACCAACCCGGGCUCCACGGUUAGUGUCCUCGGGGACUUUAACAGAGGAAACCUCAGCCAUGAACUUCCUGAGUACAAACAGUUUAUUAAAUGCCCGCCCAGAGAGGAGAACACGCUGAAUCACUGUUACACAACACCAGCCCAAUUCCCGCUAAAAAAAAGAGGGGGAAGGGUAUUCAUUUGGACCCCCCCCCAUGUCUAAACCAUGGUUACGCCCUUGCAUAUAAGUGACUUUCCUGUAGGUGUUAGACAUACAACGAUUAGAAAUCUUCAUUCUGUGAACGCAAGUUCCUCUUUUCCUGACUCCUCAUAAAUUGUCCUUUAAACCAUUUUUGGACGUGUCGAUAGCAGCCUUCUAGUUUAUGUGAAUUACAAGAACAUUUUACAAAAUAAGAGCUCAGCGGUGAGCUCUGCCACCACGUAACCCUUCAAAAACGACUUUAAAACAAGGAUUAGCUUCUGACUUACCGAAGCUUCUGGCCAUGUUUGGGUUAAAGAGUGGAAGAGACGCUGCAGAUGAAGUACUGGUUCAGAAAGUGACUCCUGCAGCUCUGGCAGAACGGCUCUUUAUCUACUGACGCACGCCCACAAUCGAAAGUGAAAACGAGGUCUCGGUUACACAAGGUUUUUGGAUGGUGUAAGUGAGAAUAUAAAUAUAUAUAUAUAUACACUCACCGGCGACUUUAUUAGGUACACCUGUCCAACUGCUCGUUAACACUUAAUUUCUAAGCAGCCAAUCACAUGGCGGCAACUCAGUGCAUUUAGGCAUGUAGACAUUGUCAAGACAAUCUCCUGCAGUUCAAACCGAGCAUCAGUAUGGGGAAGAAAGGUGAUUUGAGUGACUUUGAACGUGGCAUGAUUGUUGGUGCCAGAAGGGCUGGUCUGAGUAUUUCCGACACUGCUAAUCUACUGGGAUUUUCACGCACAACCAUCUCUAGGGUUUACAGAGAAUUGUCCAAAAAAGAAAAAACAUCCAGUGAGCGGCAGUUCUGAAGGCAGAAAAGUUCCUCGGUUAUCACAUGCUUUCUGUGGUUGUGUUUUCUGUUUGAAUUGUAAUGGCAAAAAUAUAUGUAACUCUUCUUAAACGCUUCAUUGUAUAACCAGUUUAUUAAUUGCAAGUGGUGGGAUGGCGAGGCCUUAUGUAAAGAGCUGAAGUGUCUCACACUGAUAAGAUGUCCCAAGUGUCCUGGCUGUCGAGACUCAACAAGUUGGUUCACAUGUGUUGAAUGUAAGCAAGUUUUCUGUUGAUGCCACUUGUAACUGAACUGAAGUAUAAGAAGAGUCUGGCCCUGAUGGGAAGGGGGAAGGUUCUUGGCAAUCUACUGACCAUGUGGCUGCUGUGAUCUUUCUUGCCUUGCAUGGAAAUAAACAGAAAAAGACAUAUUUGACUCCCA